rnacentral:lncRNA from 10 species
ACAGCAUUCCCCAGUGGGCUCAAUAUUUGUGGUGUCCAGGAUGUGUCCCAUGUCACACAGCCCAAGAAAGCACUUCGGCCAUCACAUCCAUGCUCCCAACCACAGGAUGGAGGAACAGGUAAAGAAGCAGCGAAGGACACAUUUCAACUGUCUAUUGAGGAGGGUUCUGUUGCAGCAUCACUAUUCCUAUCGACAUUCAUUGGCUAAAAUAGUGACAUGGCCAUGCCUAGAGUGGAUGGAAAGUGUAGUCUUCAUUUUGGACAGCCACAUGCCCAGUUAAAAAUUCUAUUUCUAUGGAACAAACAGACAAUGGGCACUGAGGGGAAAGUAGCAAUUUCUGUUACACUGUGUAUGGAAGAGAUCUGAGGCUUUUUGGUUUUUGUUUUUUUAAAAAAGACAUUUUAAUUCCAAGAAUCAUAACUACAGUAUUAUUUACAACAGCAAAAGCUAAGCCAAAAAAGUAACUGAGAUCUGGUAAGAUUUGG